rnacentral:rRNA from 1 species
UACGGAGGGUGCAAGCGUUAAUCGGAAUUACUGGGCGUAAAGCGUGCGCAGGCGGUUUGUUAAGUCCGUUGUGAAAGCCCCGAGCUCAACUUGGGAAUUGCAGUGGAUACUGGCAGGCUGGAGUACGGUAGAGGAAGGUGGAAUUCCCGGUGUAGCAGUGAAAUGCGUAGAUAUCGGGAGGAACACCAGUGGCGAAGGCGGCGAUCUGGGAAGAUACUGACGCUGAGGUGCGAAAGCGUGGGGAGCAAACAGG